AGUGAACGCUGGCGGUAGGCCUAACACAUGCAAGUCGAACGGCAGCACAGUAAGAGCUUGCUCUUACGGGUGGCGAGUGGCGGACGGGUGAGGAAUACAUCGGAAUCUACUUUUUCGUGGGGGAUAACGUAGGGAAACUUACGCUAAUACCGCAUACGACCUACGGGUGAAAGCAGGGGAUCUUCGGACCUUGCGCGAUUGAAUGAGCCGAUGUCGGAUUAGCUAGUUGGCGGGGUAAAGGCCCACCAAGGCGACGAUCCGUAGCUGGUCUGAGAGGAUGAUAAGCCACACUGGAACUGAGACACGGUCCAGACUCCUACGGGAGGCAGCAGUGGGGAAUAUUGGACAAUGGGCGCAAGCCUGAUCCAGCCAGACCGCGUGGGUGAAGAAGGCCUUCGGGUUGUAAAGCCCUUUUGUUGGGAAAGAAAAGCAGCAGGUUAAGACCCCGCUGUUCUGACGGUACCCGAAGAAUAAGCACCGGCUAACUUCGUG
rnacentral:rRNA from 1 species